rnacentral:tRNA from 1 species
UCUCUGGUGGUCCAAUGGCUAAGACUCUGUGCUCCCGAUGCAGGAACCUGGGUUCAAUCCCUGGUCAGGGAA